rnacentral:rRNA from 1 species
GACGAACGCUGGCGGCGUGCUUAACACAUGCAAGUCGAGCGGUAAGGCCCUUUCGGGGGUACACGAGCGGCGAACGGGUGAGUAACACGUGGGUGACCUGCCCUCAGCUCUGGGAUAAGCCUGGGAAACCGGGUCUAAUACUGGAUAUGACUCCAUGACGCAUGUUGUGGGGUGGAAAGCCUUGUGCGGCUGAGGAUGGGCCCGCGGCCUAUCAGCUUGUUGGUGGGGUGAGGGCCUACCAAGGCGACGACGGGUAGCCGGCCUGAGAGGGCGACCGGCCACACUGGGACUGAGACACGGCCCAGACUCCUACGGGAGGCAGCAGUGGGGAAUCUUGCGCAAUGGGCGAAAGCCUGACGCAGCGACGCCGCGUGAGGGAUGACGGCCUGG